rnacentral:rRNA from 1 species
GACGAACGCUGGCGGCGUGCUUAACACAUGCAAGUCGAACGGUGAAGCGCCUUCCUUUUUGGUGGGUGUGGAUGAGUGGCGAACGGGUGAGUAACACGUGAGUAACCUGCCCCCUUCUUCUGGAUAACCGCAUGAAAGUGUGGCUAAUACGGGAUAUUCUGGGCCUGUCGCAUGAUGGGUCUGGGAAAGAUAUUGUUUCGGUGGGGGAUGGGCUCGCGGCCUAUCAGCUUGUUGGUGGGGUGAUGGCCUACCAAGGCGGUGACUGGUAGCCGGCCUGAGAGGGUGGACGGUCACACUGGGACUGAGACACGGCCCAGACUCCUACGGGAGGCAGCAGUGGGGAAUAUUGCACAAUGGGCGCAAGCCUGAUGCAGCGACGCCGCGUGAGGGAUGGAGGCCUUCGGGUUGUGAACCUCUUUCGCCAGUGAAGCAGGCCUGCCUCGUUUGUGGGUGGGUUGACGGUAGCUGGAGAAGAAGCGCCGGCUAACUACGUG